UCUCCUUUUUUGCCGAGCGCUCUCUUUCCCCUUUUUCUCUCCCUCGUACUCUCCUUUCCUCGCCGCCGCCACUCCAUCCUGGCCGCCUCCUCUCCUCGUCGAACCAGCCGCCUCCUCCCCAUCUUCACGCGCAGCCUCCUCUCCCUCAAGCCCCGCCUCCUUCCCACCCUGGCUUCGCCUCUUCGGGGGGCGGGACGCAGUGGCUGUGAUGAUGGCAGAUGGGGCGACAACGGCGGCGCUCCUCCUCUCCCAUGGCGGUCGGCGGCGCUCUGGCCGUGGAGGCCUGCUCCUCAUGCUCCUCUGAUAUGCCUCUUCGCCCCUGCCGAGGACGGCGGUGAGGGGCAAAGGGGCGCUGUCGUUCUCCCCCCUCAGCGUGUGCGUCAGAGACGGACGAGGAAGCCGGGCAGUCCGUCAUGCCGUCGACGCCGUCCUCUCCUACCAAGGUCUGGAUCCUCCUCCCCCUUCCCUCAUGGCGGCGCCUGGAUCCUCCUCCCUCUUCGCUUCCAUGGCGGCACCCGGACCUGCCGCAUCUUCCUCAUCGUCAGUCCGAGGGAGAGGAGUGGCAGCAGCCAGACGCGCCUCGUCCGUGUCGCGUGGUGUCCCAGAUGCGUCCGCCCCGUGCUCUGCCGAUGCCUGUCUCACCCAUCUACGGCCGAAGAAGGAGGGGAGGACUGGAUGCCAACCGAUCUGGAGGAAGAAGCGGACACCCGGACGAAAUCGACGGCGAGAUGCUUGGUGACAUCCCUGGAUAGGCUUCGUGGUGGAGGGCACGGCCUCCGCUGCCGGGUGCAUUAUGAGGCACUCGAGGGGUAGGGUCGCUUGCAGCGCAGGUGCCCGUCGUGUGUCCCAGCGGGGCACUUGAUGCAGCUGCCGCAGGCCGGCAAGUUUGGCUGAUUUCAACACUCAAGGUAAAUUAUCAUAACCAUGGAAUGACACAUACUGAUCUCAGCCUGGAGAAUGUUCAUGUAAGGGCCAGUACACAAGCAUGUCUACUUUGCCAUAUGGAUGGUGGAUUUAGAGGACAAAUUUAUGCACCAGCUUUGAGUUCCAUGACGUUGCGCCGACUAUGUGGAACCCAAUGAUUCAUAGUGAUGUAUUUUCUUCUUCGAGAGAGAGGACUGUGCAAUCAGAAGUACAAUAUGUGAUCAUCAAGUGUAAGAGAUGGCAAGAAUAUGUGGGUACAGAUGCGGCGGCGACAACGUCGACUUCGGUGAGAUGGCUGGUGGACCAAGGACCAAUCCUGCAUUUGCUUUAUAAUAUGAAGUAAUGUCGAUGUGUGAUGUUAACAUCAUGGUUAUCUACAGAUGUAUGGGUACGCUCCGUUUAUGGUCGUCUCUAUAACGUGUGGAGUAUCGAGACCUGUUUACGGAGGUGUGUACACGAUUGGAGGCCACGACGAGGGAUACUUUUAACUGACAUGGAUGACCGCAUGAUCUUCGGAUUGGUCCUCCUACGCUUUAGGCGUUAUACAGACUCUUUGAUUAAGUGUAUUUCGCCUUUUUCUGUUGUUUUUUUUGGAACGUGGACUUGGUUAUGGCUAUGUGCAUCUCAAUUAUGCAGAGGCCGGGUGUAAUGCUUAAGUAUUUUAAGUAAUAAAGCACCUUUUAUCAAAAAAUAGUCAGAUUUGUUUUUGUUUAUCCAUAUACAACAUCAUGUCUGAGUUCAUCAUCUUCUGAUACUGGAAGAGGAUGCACUAUAAGUUAUAAAGCAAGAAAGUAAAACAUGGAUUUCAUUUACUUGAGAGAAGAUCUGGCCAUGAUAUACUGCUACGUGCCAGACUAAAAGUUCAACAAAUGAUCACGAGCUUAGUGUCUGCCGUUUAUGAUGCCUAUUUUGGAGAUACUGUGUCCCGUUUUUGGAAAAAUAUUUUGUUCAACUACAUAAUAAUACAGGAAGUUUUCCCAUUCUUUUUUCCUUUUCCAUUUGGGUAAGGCCUAUAUAUAUAGUGUUACCUUAGUGGCAAAUUUGUAUGGUAUUUUUAUUGCUUCUUUGCUGGAUCACGGAUCACAUUCAGAAU